CUACAAGUCGAGCAGGGACGAAAGUCGGGCUUAGUGAUCCGGUGGUUCCGCAUGGAAGGGCCAUCGCUCAACGGAUAAAGCUACCCGGGAUAACAGGCUUAUCUCCCCAAGAGUCCACAUCGACGGGAGGUUGGCACCUCGAUGUCGGCUCAUCGCAUCCUGGGGCUGUAGUCGGUCCCAAGGGUUGGGCUGUUCGCCCAUUAAAGCGGUACGCGAGCUGGGUUCAGAACGUCGUGAGACAGUUCGGUCCCUAUCCG
rnacentral:rRNA from 1 species